CAGAACGGGAGUGAUUUGUGGCCGCACGAUUUACUAUACGUACGCGAACUUCACGACUUAUUGUCAGAUGGAUUACGUAAAUUGCAUGGAAAGAUAUGAAGUUUGGCAACUGGUACAUAUGGGCGAAUGUUUCUCACCGACGCCCUUGACUGACUAUGUACAUACUCAGUAUACCGAUGAUGCAUUUUUGGACGAGGACUAUGUUUCUGAUAACUAGUGUGUUUUAUAAAAUUUAUCUAUUUAAAAUAGUUACAAUAAAACUGUCUAAGUGA